rnacentral:rRNA from 1 species
UACGGAGGGGGCUAGCGUUGUUCGGAAUUACUGGGCGUAAAGCGCACGUAGGCGGCUUUGUAAGUUAGAGGUGAAAGCCCGGAGCUCAACUCCGGAAUUGCCUUUAAGACUGCAUCGCUUGAAUCAUGGAGAGGUGAGUGGAAUUCCGAGUGUAGAGGUGAAAUUCGUAGAUAUUCGGAAGAACACCAGUGGCGAAGGCGGCACUCUGGGCCGGUACUGACGCUGAGGAGCGAAAGCGUGGGGAGCGAACAGG